rnacentral:lncRNA from 1 species
CCCAUUAAAAAUUAUAUUGUUACGCUUUUUCCAUAAGUUCCAACAUACAGCAGUAAAUAUCGAGUCAAUUUUAUGUCGCAGCUUGACUAGUGUUUUUUCCUUCAUUUGGAAAGAAGGAUGCCAUCUAACUAUAGUAAAGACUAGUGGGUGUAUUUGAAAAGUUUUUCACAUUCGACCCAAGUGAGCUUGAAAAAAUCACAGCACGUAAAAAAGUAUAUAGCUGUUUCAGGCUCUCUGUUGCAUAGCGGGUAAGUCGGUGGAUAUGGCCAUCCCCUCCUAUUUGGAUAAAUCUUUUGGUGGUCUUCAAG